rnacentral:snRNA from 1 species
GUGCUUGCUUCGGCAGCACAAAUAUUAAAAUUGGAAUGAUAGAGAGAAGAUUAGCCUGGCCCCUGCAUAAGGAUGACAUACAAAUUGAUGAAGCAUUCCAUAUUUUU